rnacentral:rRNA from 1 species
GCAAGUCGAGCGAGAAAGGUCUUCGGACUGAGUACAGCGGCGGACGGGUGAGUAACGCGUAGGAAUCUACCUGGUAGUGGGGGACAACAUGGGGAAACCCAUGCUAAUACCGCAUACGCCCUAUGGGGGAAAGCGGGGGACCUUCGGGCCUCGCGCUAUUGGAUGAGCCUGCGUCGGAUUAGCUUGUUGGUGGGGUAAAAGCCUACCAAGGCGACGAUCCGUAGCUGGUCUGAGAGGACGAUC